UACGAAGGUCCCAAGCGUUAUCCGGAUUUAUUGGGUUUAAAGGGUGCGUAGGCGGGUUAUUAAGUCAGUGGUGAAAGCCUUCAGCUCAACUGAAGAAUUGCCAUUGAUACUGAUGAUCUUGAGUACGAUUGAGGUAGGCGGAAUGUGUCAUGUAGCGGUGAAAUGCUUAGAUAUGACACAGAACACCGAUUGCGAAGGCAGCUUACUAAGUCGUAACUGACGCUGAUGCACGAAAGCGUGGGGAGCAAACAGG
rnacentral:rRNA from 1 species